rnacentral:rRNA from 1 species
UACGAAGGUGGCAAGCGUUGUUCGGAGUUACUGGGCGUAAAGGGUGCGUAGGCGGUUGUUUAAGUUUGGUGUGAAAUCUCCCGGCUCAACUGGGAGGGUGCGCCGAAUACUGAAUGACUAGAGUGCGGGAGAGGAGAGUGGAAUUCCUGGUGUAGCGGUGAAAUGCGUAGAUAUCAGGAGGAACACCGGUGGUGUAGACGGCUCUCUGGACCGUAACUGACGCUGAGGCACGAAAGCGUGGGUAGCAAACAGG